ensembl:lncRNA
CCCGCUCCCCACCCCCCGCUCCGCCCGGGGGAAAACCUCCGGGAACGAGCGGACCCAUCCCCGCCUCUCCUCCCCCUCCUCCUCCUCCUCCUCCCCCUUCUCCUUCUCGCCCGGUGCCGCCGGGAUGAGCCUCCCACGAUUUCGUUUCCAUUUCGGGCAACAACGAUUCCCGCUCCCCCGCCUCCCUCCGCCUCCCGCCAGCCCCGCGCUCGCUUUCCCCUCCGAGGAAAAAAACGAAAAAACGCCGAGAAAACGGCUAAAAGCAAAAAGCCCCACAGCCCCAAAUUCUCUUUGCUGGAAUCGGUUCAGUCCCCGCCGCUCCUCGGCGCCCGGUGAGUCCCCUCUGCUCCCCGCUUCUCUCCCGUCGAGCCCGGAGCGGUCCCCGCCGCUCCCCCGGUGCCCACCGCGCUCCGGCGCAUCCCGGUUUUCCCCGGCGGGUGCCGACAUUCCCGGUCCCCGCCGCUCCCGGCCGGUUCUCUCCAGCCCCCGAUGGAUAUUGGUGCUCCCCGGUCCCCGCCGCUCCCGGGAGCUGAUCCUCGAUUCUUGCCGGGAGCUGAUCCCCGGUCCCCGCCACUCCCGGGAGCUGAUCCCCGGUCCCCGCCACUCCCGUUCCCGGUGGGUCCCGCUCUCCCGGUUCAGCACCGGAUGAACCGGGACAGCUCCGCGCCCCUCAAGGUGCCGGGGGCUCCCCAAUCCCCAAUCCCCGAUUCCCGAUCACCAAUCCCCGAUCCCCAUUUCCCAAUCCCUGGUCCCCAAUCCCCCAUUCCCGGUCCCCAACCCCCGAUCCCCAAUCCUGAUCCCCAAUCCCCAAUCCUCAAUCCCCGGUCCCCAAUCCCCGAUUCUUGGUCCCAAAUCCUUGAUCCCCAAUCCCCAAUCCUCAAUUCCCGGUCCCCAAUCCCAAUCCCCAAUCCCCAAUCCUCAAUCCCCGAUCCCCAAUCCCCGAUUCCCGGUCCCAAAUCCUUGAUCCCCGAUCCCCAAUCCUCAAUCCCCGGUCCCCAAUCCCCAAUCCUCAAUUCCCAGUCCCCAAUCUCGAUCCCCGCUCCCCAGUCCCAAUUCCCGCUCCCCAGUCCCAAUCCCCGCUCCCCAAUCCCCAAUCCCCGAUCCCCAAUCCUCAAUCCCCGAUCCCCAGUCCCCAAUCCCGAUUCCCGGUCCCCAAUCCUCAAUCCCUUGUCCCCAGUCCCAAUCCCUGGUCCCCAAUCCUCAAUCCCCGAUCCCCAAUCCUCAAUCCCCGCUCCCCAAUCCUCAAUCCCCGAUCCCCAAUCCUCAAUCCCCGCUCCCCAAUCCCCAAUCCCCGCUCCCCAAUCCUCAAUCCCCGAUCCCCAAUCCUCAAUCCCCGGUCCCCAGUCCCAAUUCCCGCUCCCCAGUCCCAAUCCCCGCUCCCCAAUCCCGAUCCCCGCUCCCCAAUCCCAAUUCCCGAUCCCAAAUCCCCAAUCCCCGAUCCCCAAUCCUCAAUCCCCGAUCCCCAAUCCCAAUCCCCGCUCCCCAAUCCCCUAUUCCCGGUCCCCAAUCCCAAUCCCCGAUCCCAAAUCCCCUAUUCCCGGUCCCCAAUCCCCUCCCCUCGGUGUGUUUUGGGUAGAGUAGCCUUGUAGCCAAGUGUGUGUGUGCCGCAGACGCGCCCGGAGCCGGUGGCCGAGGUCGCCCCGGUGGCCCCGGUGGCCACCAGCCCGCUCGCCGCUCGCCCCGGUGCGGCGGAGAGCCGCGGGCGCUUUCUCUGCG